UACGUAGGGUGCGAGCGUUGUCCGGAAUUAUUGGGCGUAAAGGGCUCGUAGGCGGUCUGUCACGUCGGGAGUGAAAACACGGGGCUUAACCCCGUGCCUGCUUCCGAUACGGGCAGACUAGAGGUAUGCAGGGGGGAACGGAAUUCCUGGUGUAGCGGUGAAAUGCGCAGAUAUCAGGAGGAACACCGGUGGCGAAGGCGGUUCUCUGGGCAUUACCUGACGCUGAGGAGCGAAAGUGUGGGGAGCGAACAGG
rnacentral:rRNA from 1 species